UUCAGAGGCAAUGACCUUUAGAAACUUUAAAAACAAAGUGAUUUGCCUUAAGUUCCACAAACUGUCUGACCUAAUUUCCUAAUGUUCGCCUAUUGAGUAACACAAACAAAGAUAGUUGACAGUUGUCAUGGAUAGGUGGUACUUUUUUUAAUGGUGGCCCUUCUACUAUAGGUGUAGUGGUACACAAAGCUCAUGCAGUUUUGUGGUGACAAUACAGGAUGUUUUUUUGAUCAGUUUUUUCAGAAUUAAAGAAAUCCAAUAUGUGCUUUUAUUUUGGAAAAAAAACAGCACUAAACGGUAGUUCAUGGGUCAUAGUUAUCGUUGUAAAAUAUGCAUAUCAGAUAAAAGGUUUCAGUGGGUUCCUGACACAAAGUUAGUACAUCUUAUAUUGAAAGUUAAGUGAAUUAGGACAGAAUUCACCACUGAACAUCUUUGCUUAGUCCUACUAAAUGGUAAUUCCAGCCACACUACAAAAAUGACUCAAACAACUGUACUUCUUUUAUAGCAUCCAUAAUAACGUUGCAAUAUAUUGUUUUAGUGUGGUGUUGAUGUUGCUUUAAUCCCUCUAUGGGUUGUGAAACAGAAAUCUAUGCACUUACAGUUAGAAAUAUAGUUAGUACAGAAUUUAUACUUGAUAUUAUAUAUAGCAUGGCACUGGGUCACAGUGUAUACACACCCCAACUGUAAACGAUGUUAUUGUACUGCAGCAUCAUUGAAUGUCCAUACUUACAUCAUUAGCUGCAAUAAAAACAGCUGCAGCUCAAAGAAUCUUUGGAUUAGAUGUGUGAGAGGAAAAGGCACUGACAAUAAUAAGCACCAUAUUCAGUGGGGACUCAGUUGACUUUCCUAGAUUAAAAUCACCCUUUGAGUUACAGCUGUGUUUUCUGUGCCAUGACACAUGAGAAGCAGAGUAGAGCGAAUGCAGAAGAUCUCAAGUUCACUGUGUAGGGAUUCACUACAUUUGAAACCCAAACAA